GAUGCUGGUUUUAUCUUAUCCUUUUCUUCUAUACGCAUUCUGAUUCAUAAAUAAUAGGUAGCAUCCUCUUUACCCUCCUUACCCCGUGUCAUCUUGACACCAAUCUCAGAUUAAAAAUUGUUAAAAACAAAGAUAUGCAUUUUUGCCUAUUCCAAGUUGCUGAAGAUAUUUUCAUAAUCUACAUUUACUUUUAGAAGCUUUCUAUGUUUAGCAUUUAAUUUAAUAUCUGCAUAUGUUAUGAAGAAUAAAGUUUCAAUUUUAUCCAAAAAAAAAUAUAUAUAUAUAUGUCUUAUUAAUAGAAGUUUCUAGAAAAGUGCUCCUCAAUAGAACUUCGUGUGGCAACAAGAGCCAUCCAAUCUGCACUGUCCAGUAAGGGGGCAGCUGAGACUUGAAAUGUGCCACUUCCAGACGAUAGAGUAUGUGGCUGCACUUCCUUUGCUGUGAAAUGAGCUCCUUCAUCAGAAGCAGUGCUGUAAGGAGUGUGGUUCUAUGGGUCUGCAGACGGUGCUGACAGAGGCAGAUGGGGAGAGCAAGUCCAUAUCCCGAAUGCGGAGCUGUUCCAGUGGAAUGAUGCCCAGGAUGAAUCUCUGCCUCCACCACUAUAAUCAAGCUGCCGUCAUUUGGCUGGCUUGUCUCCCUGGGAGCAGUGCCACGCUGGGGGCUCAUGGGUGUCUCUGCUGGCCGGUUAACAGCAGCAUUAUCCAUCUCUGCCUUGGUCAGAGGAAGGUCAUACUAUUGAAUAAACAGUGUGGUGGCCGAGCAGAGAAACUGACCAGCAUCCACUUACCGUGUAAUUUUGCCCGCCUUGUUAUUAACAGGCUCCCUGCAGUGGCUCUCCUCUGUGGGCAUUGACAGGAGACACAAGUAUCUUCAGUCUCUGCCCAUCCUGGGAUGUGCCUCUCCUCCAACCUCCCUUGCCCACUUCCAUGUCCCUUAUCAUCCAGCCACCCAUGUCCCUUAUCAUCCAGCCACCCAUGAGUGACAGCCCAGGAAUCAGAGUAGAUCCAUACUUCUGGCCAUUUCUUAUUCCAGACAAAGUGGACAAGAAUUGUAAUGCUCACUGAGAGGCUUGGCCUUCACUUCUGUGCUUCCGAGCUACCCGAGUGGGGCUGUAGUGCUGCAGCUAUUUACUUCCAGGUGGUCUCAGCAUGUCAUGCAGAGCCAUCCACAAACCAGCCUUCAGUGUUUUCUUCUUUAGUCCACUGGCCAUAAAGAGCACCCCCAAGAGGCCAUAGGCAUGGAUUGAGAAAGAGGAAGAGGAAGCAGCAUCAGUUAGUGUUGAAGGGGUCUGAGCCACCCACUCCUGCAACUUACACCCUCUGGAGCUUCCCUCCCAUGCAAUUACCCCACCACCACCAAAAAGAACCAGUGUUCUGACCUCUCUCACUGUAGAUUAGUUUUGCCUAUUUGCACUUCACAUAAAUGUGGUCACAUAGUAUAUACUCUUUGGUGUCUGACUUCUUUCCCUCAACAUAUGGCUGUGAGAUUCAUCCACGUAUUGUAUCUGUCCAUUUAUUCGGGUCUUCCGUAAAGCUUUAAAUAACUUAAAUAUUUUCCCCAUGUAGAUGUUGUGCAUUAAAAAAAUUUCUAGACA